rnacentral:rRNA from 1 species
CAGCAGCCGCGGUAAUACGGAGGGUGCAAGCGUUAUCCGGAUUUAUUGGGUUUAAAGGGUCCGUAGGCGGACUUAUAAGUCAGUGGUGAAAGCCUGUCGCUUAACGAUAGAACUGCCAUUGAUACUGUAAGUCUUGAGUAUAUUUGAGGUAGCUGGAAUAAGUAGUGUAGCGGUGAAAUGCAUAGAUAUUACUUAGAACACCAAUUGCGAAGGCAGGUUACCAAGAUAUAACUGACGCUGAGGGACGAAAGCGUGGGUAGCGAACAGGAUUAGAGACCCCGGUAGUCCCUGUCUCUUAUAA